AAAUUGAAAAUAAAAGAUAAGCUUUUCUUUUUUUAGUCUGAAAGUUAAUGCCACUUUAAAAGAAACAUCUUUGAUAAUGAGCUUACAUUUAAAAAUGAAGAGUUGUAUGGUAUCUAGCACCAUUUCAGGAUUGUGGAGCAGAGAUAGGCAAACUAAUGGCUGCAGACCAAAUCUGACCACAUCAGCUUUGGUGAAUAAGUUUUUAAUUGGAAUGAAGCUAUUCAUUUGCUUAUA